rnacentral:rRNA from 1 species
CCUACGGGCGGCAGCAGUGGGGAAUAUUGGGCAAUGGGCGCAAGCCUGACCCAGCAACGCCGCGUGAAGGAAGAAGGCUUUCGGGUUGUAAACUUCUUUUGACAGGGAAGAGCAGAAGACGGUACCUGUCGAAUAAGCCACGGCUAACUACGUGCCAGCAGCCGCGGUAAUACGUAGGUGGCAAGCGUUGUCCGGAUUUACUGGGUGUAAAGGGCGUGUAGCCGGGCUGACAAGUCAGAUGUGAAAUCCGGGGGCUCAACCCCCGAACUGCAUUUGAAACUGUUGGUCUUGAGUAUCGGAGAGGCAGGCGGAAUUCCUAGUGUAGCGGUGAAAUGCGUAGAUAGUAGGAGGAACACCAGUGGCGAAGGCAGCCUGCUGGACGACAACUGACGGUGAGGCGCGAAAGCGUGGGGAGCAAACAGGAUUAGAUACCCCAGUAGUC